UGCCCGGGCCUUGAGCGUUGCCGGGAAGGAAGCAGCCAAACGAGAGGCGCAGGUCUGGGGCCGGCGGCAGCGUAGCCCGUAGCCUCUCUCUGUCCGGGCUCUCAGUCGGCGAACCCGCCUCCAGAAGCUGGGCGGGUGUCAACGCCGAGUCCAUGAUCACUGAGGCGGCUUCCUCGGCCUUGGUCGUCAGGGCCUCAGGCCUGACCGCGGCCUCUGGCUCCUACCAAGUCUUCUGCAAGGGACUCUCCCGCACUCUGCUUGCCUUCUUCGACUUGGCCUGGCAGCUGCGCAUGAACUUCCCAUACUUCUACGUCGCGGGCUCCGUGAUCCUCAACAUCCGCUUGCAGGUACACUUUUAGAGCCCUGAUUAAAUUGCAGGCGUGAUGGCGGACCCACCCGAGGCCUCACAGCUAACUGGAGCUACUCCCAGUUACCCCCGGGAAGCCCUGUGGUCUCGCGAUAUUCCCAGGCGGCUUUGCUCUCCUGAUGGUCGCGGAUUACUUGCUGGGAGGAGAAAGGAGUUAUGCGAUUCCGGAAGAAGAGAAUUUAAAUUAAGACCCACGGAAAUAUUUAAGACGAGCAACCUUAAAAUAGAAACAGGAGAAAUUUAAGGAUGUGACAAAGGGCAGAGGAUGCAUUAUAAAAACGGAAGGCUGCUAAACUUUUUAGAAAAAAUUUUUUUAUGUGUGCAAGAAACUCAUGGUCCAAACCAUAAGGAAACCAGUACACUUCAGGAAUUUUGGAUUGUUUUGUAAGUAAUACAGUGAAUGAGGAAGAAGAGGAAGAGAUUAAGGGUACGAUGUGGUAGCAUUACAUUUCUUCAUCCCACAAGAGUAAAUAUCAACAAUCAAACUUCAGGUGAAAAACAAACCUGUACCGGAGAGGCAUUCUCCAAAUACCAAGCAAAGUGAAAUGCUGCGGGAUAUCUAACAAUGGUGGUACUGCAAGAAAGUGAACUCUAUUUCAUUGUCCCUAUGAAUAAGGUUGUUUCAAGGACUAUGUCAAGACCUUGGAACCUGAGAGAAGGGCAUGCAGCCAUAGUACAAAGUUUGGCUGUUCAGUGAAUCAUAUUUAAUCAUAAUAAUGUGGUUUCCCGUGGAGGAACUGAACAACCUUCUGGUGUUACACCUGGAGGCAUGGCCGGUGGACUAAAUCUUCGACCCCAGUUGAGCCAUAAUUCUGAAAAUGGAGUGGAUGAGACAGGCCCUGAUGUGGUGGACAUAGUGGACUUCAAGGGCCAAUCCAAAAUCAUCAUCUUUGGACAUCCCUGGGUACAGCAUUGAACAAAGAGCAUGCCCUUUGGUCUGACAUUGUUGCACCUAGAACACAAGCUACAAGUCCCCAGACUCCACAGCAUCCUGUUGCUUAAGACAGCAUAGUAUUGUCCAGAGUGUUAGGAGCACAGCUCUGCUUCUGCUACUGAAGUUGAAGGGAAACAAGUAUCCUUAAAUUUCUGCAUUCCAUUGUUGUGUGUCUUAAUGAAUAGUAGUUUGAUUGUUUUGAUGCAAACAUAAAUAUGAAGCUCUUCUAAGAAAGAAAUGGAUUUCCUUGCUUUUUUUGUCCAAUGACAAAACAAGACAUAACAAAAAGUAGACUGGCUUUCAGUGGAUUGCGUUACUGUUUUUAAAUUCUGUACAAACAUGGACUCCUUUGUCCUUUGUGCCUGGACAGACACACACACACCCACCCUUAUUGUGCAUUGCCCUCUUUACUGACACCACCCACGUUAUUAAAGCUGACUUUGUAUUGUUCAUUGAAUGUAAAGAUAGCAGUGGAAUAUAGGGUAAAUCAUUAGGUUUGUUUGUGUAAGGUCAUUGCAUGAUUUGCAGAGCUAAGCUUAGACACAUCAAGUCCUACAAAGUAAUAAGAAUAAAAAAUAAGAGCUAACAUUUAUUGAACUCUGUGAGAAUUGCACUUAAUCCUCACAACAAUCCCAGUGAUGAGUAUUAUUAUUAUCCUUAUUUUAAACAUAAGGAAACUAAGGUAUAGAGAGGUUAAUUAAUUUGCUCAAGUUCACACAAUUAGUAAAUUAUACUGACUUCUCGUCAGGUGGAUGCAUAUGGAUGGGCUUCUAGGAAACCUCCUUAGAAUGUCUCUUUAAAAUUCCCUUCAUAAUAAAACAAAUAUGAGUAAUACCAUAUCAGCACUGAAAAUUAAGUAUAUCAGUCACGUAAUGGGAACUGAGAUUACUUUUUCUAGCCAAGCGAAUAAACUGGCAGUAGAUGGCAUGCCCAGGUAACCAAGCCCCAAAUAGGAGUCAGCCAGGGAAACUCCUGAAGGCACUGAUGGUGUUGGCCUGAUUCAAGUUUAGACAAGUUUGGGACACAUCAGAAAGAGCAUUGCUUACUUCCUGUCACUUCUGUGAUGCAGCAACACGAGGACCACAUUAGAAAGUAAGUUAUGGAAGUCCAGGGCUUCACUUCUGACAUGGGUUUCUGUAUGAAGCAGAAAAUUUAGCAAAAUUUAAAAGGUCCCACUCCUUGUAGUGGAGUUUGUGUAACUUAGACGACCUUUAAGCAGUAUGAAGCUAAAUUCCUAGCUCCUGCUCUCAGUGCUUUCCCCAAGAGAUGCUUGAUCUCCAAACAAGUCACUCAUGACCUUAUCCUCCCUUCUGUACAAGAAGGUAAUGUAUUUAUGCAAGGCCCCUUAUCAAUCUAGGACAAAAUACAAAUUAAUGCCUACUUGAUAUUUAGUCAACACAAAGGUAGUAUAACUCUCUUCUUUUGCAGAGAAAUUCACUAAUAAAAAUCCUUUCAUGAGGCCAGAUGAUUUCUUCUAUAGUUCAAGAGGAGCCCUGUGCACCGAGAAUUCAUUGUCUAAGGAAAUACAUCUAUGACAAGAAAGAAGAUUUAUGACAAUAAUUUCUUCAUGUUUUCCAUAAUAGUCACAAAAAUACUGCCACUGUAUUAUAGAACAAAAAGGAAUACAAUGAGAAAAGAAAUGGCUUUGCAGAGAGAUGAAAAACAUGGUAGCAUAAUUUAAAAUCAAUAUGAAGGCAAGAAAGAGUAAAUUUGAUGUUACAAAAUUAAGAUAACGAUAACUGAGCUAGAAGCAGAAAACAUAGUUUUCUUAGUUCAACAAUGAAAGAUGAAAAUUUAAGAUGAAGUAACAGAAAUGGAGACGAUAAUAGCAGUAAUAAUGUUAACAUAAAUUUUAUUUAACUCUCAGUAUUUUCCUAGUAUCUUACAAGUAUCAUAAUCACUUAAUAUUCACAUAACCCCAUUAGUUCAAGUACUCUAUUAUCACUACUUUAAAGAUGAAUGAACUGAGGCUUAGAGAUGUUAAGUAGCUUUCUGAAGUUGCUACAAUCAGAAACCACAGAGAAAUUUGAAACUAGCUCUUGGAUUUCAGAGCCCAUACUAAAUUAAAUCAUUAGAAGGUGCCACCUUUUAUAUCUGAAUCAUAGACUUUAUCUAUUUCACCUAUUUUAUUGAUUCCAAAACCUACAAGAACAAAACAAGAAAACAUGAGCUGACCACAAUUCUAAAAACAAAAUUUUUGUUUGAUUUUUUUAAUUUCUUUUAAGUCCUAAAUAAUACACUAGGAAAUUAAUUUCAACACCAAAAGUAUAAUACUAGUCAUGAUGGUUUCACAGAUGUAUACAUAGGUUAAAACUUUAAUUGUACAAUUUAAAUAUAUGCAAUUAAUUGUAUAUCAUUAUACCUCAAUA